rnacentral:rRNA from 1 species
CGCACGGGUGAGUAACGCGUAUGCAACCUGCCUGAUACCGGGGUAUAGCCCAUGGAAACGUGGAUUAACACCCCAUAGUACUUUUAUCCUGCAUGGGAUGUGAGUUAAAUGUUCAAGGUAUCGGAUGGGCAUGCGUCCUAUUAGUUAGUUGGCGGGGUAACAGCCCACCAAGACGAUGAUAGGUAGGGGUUCUGAGAGGAAGGUCCCCCACAUUGGAACUGAGACACGGUCCAA